rnacentral:rRNA from 1 species
CCAGUAGUCAUAUGCUUGUCUCAAAGAUUAAGCCAUGCAUGUCUAAGUAUAAACAACUUUAUACUGUGAAACCGCGAAUGGCUCAUUAAAUCAGUUAUAGUUUAUUUGAUUAUACCUUACUACUUGGAUAACCGUGGUAAUUCUAGAGCUAAUACAUGCUAAAAAUCCCGACUUCUGGAAGGGAUGUAUUUAUUAGAUAAAAAACCAACGCGGGCAACCGCUUGUCUGGUGAUUCAUAAUAACUUUUCGAAUCGCAUGGCCUUGUGCUGGCGAUGUUUCAUUCAAAUUUCUGCCCUAUCAACUUUCGAGGGUAGGAUAGAGGCCUACCAUGGUUUUAACGGGUAACGGGGAAUUAGGGUUCGAUUCCGGAGAGGGAGCCUGAGAAACGGCUACCACAUCCAAGGAAGGCAGCAGGCACGCAAAUUACCCAAUCCCGACACGGGGAGGUAGUGACAAUAAAUAACAAUACAGGGCUUUCUAGUCUUGUAAUUGGAAUGAGUACAAUUUAAAUCCCUUAACGAGGAACAAUUGGAGGGCAAGUCUGGUGCCAGCAGCCGCGGUAAUUCCAGCUCCAAUAGCGUAUAUUAAAGUUGUUGCAGUUAAAAAGCUCGUAGUUGAAUUUUAGGCCCGGUUGGACGGUCUGCCCUCGGGCAUGUACUGUCCUGACUGGGUCUUCCCUUCUGGUGAGCUGUCGUGUUGUUUACUCAGUGCGGCAGGGAACCAGGACUUUUACUUUGAAAAAAUUAGAGUGUUUAAAGCAGGCAUUCGCUUGAAUACAUUAGCAUGGAAUAAUAAAAUAGGACUUUGGUUCUAUUUUGUUGGUUUCUAGGACCGAAGUAAUGAUUAAUAGGGAUAGUUGGGGGCAUUAGUAUUUAAUUGUCAGAGGUGAAAUUCUUGGAUUUAUGAAGACUAACUUCUGCGAAAGCAUUUGCCAAGGAUGUUUUCAUUAAUCAGAACGAAAGUAGGGAUCGAGACGAUCAGAUACCGUCGUAGUCUUAACCAUAAACUAUGCCGACUAGGGAUCAGACCAAGGAUUUUUUGA